UACAGAGGGGGGCAAGCGUUAUUCGGAAUUAUUGGGCGUAAAGGGCGCGUAGGCGGCUUGGCAAGUGGAUGGUGAAAUCCCUCGGCUUAACCGAGGAACUGCCGUCCAAAACUGCUUUCGCUUUGAGACCGGGGAGAGGUGAGUGGAAAUUCCCAGUGUAGCGGGUGAAAAUGCGUAGAUAUUUGGGGAGGAACACCUGUGG
rnacentral:rRNA from 1 species